rnacentral:rRNA from 1 species
ACGCUCGACACCUACGAGAGGCAGCAGUCGGGAAUAUUGCGCAAUGGAGGAAACUCUGACGCAGUGACGCCGCGUGCAGGAAGAAGGUUUUCGGAUUGUAAACUGCUUUAGACAGGGAAGAAAGAAAUGACAGUACCUGUAGAAUAAGCUCCGGCUAACUACGUGCCAGCAGCCGACGGUAAUCUGAGGCGGGCGUGGACGAAGGGC